GAUGAACGCUGGCGGCGUGCCUAAUACAUGCAAGUCGAGCGAACAGACGAGGAGCUUGCUCCUCUGACGUUAGCGGCGGACGGGUGAUUAACACGUGGAUAACCUACCUAUAAGACUGGGAUAACUUCGGGAAACCGGAGCUAAUACCGGAUAAUAUAUUGAACCGCAUGGUUCAAUAGUGAAAGACGGUUUUGCUGUCACUUAUAGAUGGAUCCGCGCCGCAUUAGCUAGUUGGUAAGGUAAAGGCUUACCAAGGCAACGAUGCGUAGCCGACCUGAGAGGGUGGUCGGCCACCCUGGAAGGGAGAAACGGCCCAGACUCCUACGGGCGGCAGCAGUAGGGAAUCUGCAGCCAUGGGCGAAAGCCAGACGGAGCAACGCCGAGUGAGUGAUGAAGGUCUUCGGAUCGUAAAACUCUGUUAUUAGGGAAGAACAAAUGUGUAAGUAACUAUGCACGUAUUGACGGUACCUAAUCAGAAAGCCACGGCUAACUACGUG
rnacentral:rRNA from 1 species